rnacentral:rRNA from 1 species
UACGGAGGGGGCGAGCGCUAUUCGGAAUUAUUGGGCGUAAAGGGCGCGUAGGCGGCUGUACAAGUCAAAGGUGAAAUCCCUCGGCUCAACUGAGGAACUGCCUUUGAAACUGUACGGCUUGAGGCCGGGAGGGGGUAGCGGAAUUCCCAGUGUAGCGGUGAAAUGCGUAGAUAUUGGGAGGAACACCCGUGGCGAAGGCGGCUCUCUGGGACGGUACUGACGCUGAGACGCGAAAGCGUGGGGAGCGAACAGG